CCUACGGGUGGCAGCAGUAAGGAAUAUUGGUCAAUGGACGAAAGUCUGAACCAGCCAUCCCGCGUGCAGGAUGAAGGCCCUAUGGGUUGUAAACUGCUUUUAGCAGAGAAGAAAAGCUAUCAUUAAUGAGAGUCUGACGGUAUCUGCAGAAUAAGCACCGGCUAACUCCGUGCCAGCAGCCGCGGUAAUACGGAGGGUGCGAGCGUUACUCGGUAUUACUGGGUUGAAGGCGUGCGUUGGCGGCGGUGGUGAAAUCUUGUCGCUUAACGAUAGAAUUGCCAAUGAUACUGGUACUCUUGAAUUGGGUUGAGGUUAGCGGAAUGUGACAUGUAGCGGUGAAAUGCAUAGAUAUGUCAUGGAACACCAAUUGCGAAGGCAGCUAACUGGGCCUUGAUUGACGCUGAGGCACGAAAGCGUGGGUAGCGAACAGGAUUAGAUACCCGAGUAGUC
rnacentral:rRNA from 1 species